UACGUAGGGUGCGAGCGUUGUCCGGAAUUACUGGGCGUAAAGCGUGCGUAGGUGGUUCGUUAAGUCUGAUGUGAAAGCCCCUGGGCUCAACCUGGGAAUGGCAUUGGAAACUGGCGACCUAGAGUGCGGUAGAGGGUAGUGGAAUUCCCGGUGUAGCAGUGAAAUGCGUAGAGAUCGGGAGGAACAUCUGUGGCGAAGGCGACUGCCUGGACCAGCACUGACACUGAGGCACGAAAGCGUGGGGAGCAAACGGG
rnacentral:rRNA from 1 species